CUAGUUGGCGGGGAAAGGAAUAAUAUAUAGCCUCUAGCCUUUGCUAGUUGGCGGGGAAACUGGAAGUAAAGCCUCUAGCCUUUGCUAGUUGGCGGGGAACUUGAAAUCAAUGCUAUCUUUGAUAGCUUGGGCUUGGGGUUGAACUGAUUUCUAACCUAAUUUAGGAGUUAACUUGCAUGCAAUUCAGUCUAUAAGUAAUACUUUAUCGAUAAAGGAAAUACACAAUUUACAUCAAAGAGGGUAGAUGACCCUUAGAGAUGCUGGAAAGUGGAGAUAUUCUUGAGAAAUUCUAGGAUCUCUUCCACUCUACUCUACUAAGUAUUAUUGAGAGUAAUAUACUCUCAUAGAUACUGUAGGGCAUAGACAUUCAUUUCUGGUGGUUCUGGUAGUGCCAUAGUUUAGUUUAGUGUUAAGUCAAGACUCUUGGAGAUAUUCUUGAGAUUUUCAAAGGUUUCUCUAAUAAGUGUCUAUGAGAAAAAGGAACUCUCAUAGAUGCUGUAGGGCACAUCACCCCUGGUAGUUCGGGUAGUGAUGAAACUAUACCUAGUUUAGUUUUAAGUAAAGACCCUUGAAAAAAAUUGGAGGUCUUGAGAAAUUCAAGGGUUCUCAGGUUCUCUGAUAAGUGUCUAUGAGAAAAAGGAAUUCUCAUUGAUGCUGUAGGGCACAUCACCCCUGGUAGUUCGGGUAGUGAUGAAACUAUACCUAGUUUAGUUUUAAGUAAAGACCCUUGAAAAAAAUUAGAGAUAUUCUUUA